UACGGGAGGCAGCAGUGGGGAAUAUUGCACAAUGGGCGCAAGCCUGAUGCAGCCAUGCCGCGUGUAUGAAGAAGGCCUUCGGGUUGUAAAGUACUUUCAGUCGUGAGGAAGGUGUUAAGGUUAAUAACCUUAGCAAUUGACGUUAGCGACAGAAGAAGCACCGGCUAACUCCGUGCCAGCAGCCGCGGUAAUACGGAGGGUGCGAGCGUUAAUCGGAAUUACUGGGCGUAAAGGGCACGCAGGCGGUUAAUUAAGUUGGAUGUGAAAUCCCCGGGCUUAACCUGGGAAUGGCAUUCAAGACUGGUUAGCUAGAGUCUUGUAGAGGGGGUAGAAUUCCAUGUGUAGCGGUGAAAUGCGUAGAGAUGUGGAGGAAUACCGGUGGCGAAGGCGGCCCCCUGGACAAAGGACCUGGACGCUCAUGUGCGAAAGCGUGGGGAGCAAACGAGGGAUUAGAUACC
rnacentral:rRNA from 1 species